CCAUGCAGUAUGGCCUGAGGUAUAGUUUCCCUGCUGAAUAGACAUUUAAUGAGACCCUACACAGCUAUAUAUUGUUGCUAGAAAUGGAUCUCGAGGCAGAAGACCAGCCACAACCUGAUGAACCAAGAGUACCAGCAGAUGAAGGCUAUCAGCGACUAGCUGGUCAUAAUGAUGCCAAUCCUCCACUGCAAAAUGAUGGUCGUUACAACAAACUACACAUCUGCUUAAUUAUACUAAUUGCUGCGAUGUUUGCUGUAUUCUUGGCAAUGGUACUCAGUUUUGGAGUUGUACUAAGCAUCUUUCUUUCGCAUGUAAGCUCUGCAGCCCAAACCCUAAGCUGUCACCAGGACACCACAAAUUGUCACUUCUUGAAGAAUCAUACCAUCGAAACUGAGGCAUCGUGUUACACACCUCCUCUAUCAACGAAUGCUAAGGACUACUACACAACUGACGUCCGCUGUGAGGUCACUAAUGGGCCUUACUGCCAAGCUUUUGCGACACUGUACAAUAACACUGGAGAUCAAAAGUUUUGCUAUUGUGAAAUGACUGGGUUCUUAUCCCCUGGAAUAAUAUGCACUGGACUUUGCAAUCUAGUUAUAACCAGAUGUCAGAUCAAGUAGAGAAUAAGUACUUUGUUUGUAUA